rnacentral:rRNA from 1 species
GUCCUACGGGAGGCAGCAGUGAGGAAUAUUGGUCAAUGGGAGGAAUCCUGAACCAGCCAUGCCGCGUGCAGGACGACGGCUCUACGAGUUGUAAACUGCUUUUGUACCGGGGAAAAAUGCCAUACGAGUAGGGUUUUGAAAGUACGGCACGAAUAAGGAUCGGCUAACACCGUGCCAGCAGCCGCGGUAAUACGGAGGAUCCGAGGGUUAUCCGGAUUCAUUGGGUUUAAAGGGUGCGUAGGUUGUUUUAUAAGUUAGCGGCGAAAUACCGAUGCUCAACAUCGGG